GGAGAAGGGUGAUCUAGAAGGACUAAAGCUUGUGAUUUCCAUCCAUCAACUACAAGAUGGCAGCUGGAGCGCCAAACCUCUCAUCCAUACUCCAGGUAGCAGGAGAAAUGGGAAAGAUGAAAGGAGACACACAGACCAACGAUCUGUCUCUCUUCCUUGCUGGAAGCUUCACUCAACAGCUUCAUUUUCUGUCUCAUUGGCUACUGCUAAUCACCAGUUACCCCGAGUGUACCUGCCUCUCCUUCCACCUCCUC